AUAUUUGAAAUAUCUUUACCAGAAAAAAAAGGCUAUGACCGCACUAUUUCGUUAGUGGAGGCUACAGGCAAGCCUCCCUGAAGGCGGUAUUUCACCUUUGGGAUGUUUUCUGCUGGGUAGUGAGAGGAGGAAACUCCCAAAGUUUCGCUUUGGCUGGCGGCCUGCCAGUUCGUGCACCGUGGCAUUUACUCCUCUUGUGGCCGCGUGGCUCUGUGGGGUCAGCCGUGUACUCUGCACCGAAGUAUGCUGUGCUCCAACUGCUGCUAACUCUGGCGCUGGGAUGACGAGCAACCCAAAAAGAUGGGUCAGACGUUACUCUGCCUUUACCGGGUUUGAACUUGCAGCCACAAACGCCCUAACCACUGCACAGUGACCAUGCACCACAGGCCUGCGGGCCGCCACUGCCAGAUACCUACAGUUUGUUCUUACGUAAGCAUAUUCACACUUCCUUUGCCCUUUUAUUCUUGGACACCUACAGAUGUUCGUGCUGUCCUCUUUCACGCUCUUCUCCGUUUCUCCCUCCCCAUUCUGUUCCACAAAACAAUUUUCCCAUCUCCCGUCCGGGCAGGUCUCUCCGUCUCGUCCAUACUUCUCCUUUCCACGUUUCGUGUUUUCCCCUGAUCUCCUUCCCACCUCCUCCUGGUCCCGCCCCCCAUAACCUUCCCUUUAAUUUUCUGGUUCCCGCCACAGCAACGAACAGUCCGGCUGGCUGCCCUUCUGCCUUCGGAAUCGCCCGAGGCAAGGAUUUCAAACGCGAGGAACUAGCCGCGUCGACUCGUCCUCCCGGGUUUUCGAGGCUUUGGAACCUGCACGGUGGUCCUGCCGAGGAGGAUUAACAUUGAAGAAAAGGAAGCUGUUUCCACCUUGUUUCGAACCGAGGAAUUUUCGCGUGUGAGGCGAACUUGAUAACCACUUCACUAUGGAAACCAGUCAGCCUGGCUUCCUGCUCUAACCCUGAAAACCAUCGGUCCUGCCACUGCUGUUAAGCCCGAGUCUGUUUGGUUGAAAGGCGGGACGAAGUCAAGUCCCAGGUUCUCUUUCAAGGAAAACGCUUGAAGUGAGACCUUGGGUUUCUGAGGUGAAUAGAGGGGAGCCGCUGGCCUGGCUUCUCAUCCCAAGCUCUCCUCUCCCAGCCUGGCCAUUACAAGGACCCGGACUCCUGACCUCCCGUAUUUUAGGGGCUCAGUGCACAGCCACUUCUGCAAGCGUCCCUGGGUGCACACCAGACUCUGGGGGAUGAAAAGGCAAAUCCUAAGUAUGGAGACAGCGCCACAAAGUCUCCUGGAUUGGAAUCGAACCUGAGCAGUAGCGGUGAAAAAUCCAAAUCCCAUCCCACCGAUCCGAUCCCGGGGAAUCCACCCACACAGGAUCCCUGCUUCGGCCCCUGCAGAUGAAAACCCUGAAAGUCAAGGUGACAUUUCCCAGGCGGACAGAGCACAAGCGGAGGCGAUUCCCAGCGGCGCAGGGCUGAAUGCAGCCGCACAAGGCUCCCAGCCCUUGCCCUGCUGCUCACCACCUCUUCCAGCCUCAGCGACCCCUUGGGCCCUGACCACAAGGUGACUGGCCUGCGCCACACUCUAGUCCAGCUGGAGCCGUGUGUGUGGCAGAGCCAAGGCCGUGCUCUCUUUCUGAGCCUCGUUUGCUGAUGGGUAAGGUGCGGACUCGGCUCUCAGCGGGGGGGAGGGGCGGAGUCCCUCUACUUGGCGACUUCCGAAGUAGCUCCAGAGCUGUCCUGACGAUGGCACGGGGACGGGCUCCUUUGGUGUCCCCAUGGGCUCAUUAGGUGGAGCCUGAAACUCCUCACCUACGCGUCUUUGGCUCGGGUCCCAGGUGCAGCUGGUUUGUGUUCUUUGCGUUCUGUCAGGCAAAUAAAUACACCUGUUGCGCAAAUGUGCCGCCCAGGGAA